rnacentral:rRNA from 1 species
UACGUAGGGGGCAAGCGUUGUCCGGAUUCAUUGGGCGUAAAGAGCGUGUAGGCGGCCAGGUAGGUCGGUUGUGAAAACUGGAGGCUCAACCUUCAGAGGUCGACCGAAACCAUCUGGCUAGAGUCCGGGAGAGGAGAGUGGAAUUCCUGGUGUAGCGGUGAAACGCGCAGAUAUCAGGAAGAACACCCGUGGCGAAAGCGGCUCUCUGGAACGGUACUGACGCUGAGACGCGAAAGCGUGGGGAGCGAACAGG